rnacentral:rRNA from 1 species
AGACAAUAGAUACCCAGGUAGUCCACACUGUAAACGUUGAUGACUCGCUGUUGGCGAUACACAGUCAGCGGCUGAGAGAAAUCGUUAAGUCAUCCACCUGGGGAGUACGCCGGCAACGGUGAAACUCAAAGGAAUUGACGGGGGUCGCACAAGCGGUGGAGCAUGUGGUUUAAUUACGAUGAUACGCGAGGAACCGUUACCUGGGCGUAGAAUGCCUUUGACGGGUUCGUAGAGAUGGAUCGUUCCGCAGGACGAAACGAGCAAGGUAGCUGCAUGGCUGUCGUCAGCUCGUGCCGUGAGGUA